GAUGAAGAACGUAGCGAAAUGCGAUAAGUAAUGUGAAUUGCAGAAUUCAGUGAAUCAUCGAAUCUUUGAACGCACAUUGCGCCCCUUGGUAUUCCGGGGGGCAUGCCUGUUCGAGCGUCAUUAUCACCCCUCAAGCACUGCUUGGCGUUGGCGGAUUGCGUGCCCUCGCGGCGCCGCAACCGCCCAAAUACAGUGGCGGUCCCGCUGCGGCUCCCUUUGCGUAGUAACUCACCUCGCACUGGACCGGGCGGCGGCCUGCCGUAAAACCCCAACUCACGAAAUGUUGACCUCGGAUCAGGUAGGAAUACCCGCUGAACUUAAGCAUAUCAAUAAGCGGAGGA
rnacentral:misc_RNA from 1 species